AUGGAAGCCUGCGUCUCCACCGCCGGGGCUCUGGUCGCUCAUCAAGCGCUCCGUCAAGUCCAAGAGAACCGGUUCAGAGAAAUGCGAACACUGGUUGGGGUUCUAAGGAGGAUGACCCAAAAUGGGAGCAAGACAGACACCAUGGUCUACAAAAUAAGGGUGAACCCCUUGCUGUCUGCUAUAGUGCUAUGCUUUCAGAAAGGCCUAUGCAAUCGGGGAGAUUCCUCCAGAUUUUUGCAUGAUGAGCAGAUAGCAGUAAAGGGCUGUGGUGUCUACUAUGCUUUCCAGAAAGAACUACUUGAUUGUGAAGCAAGUCACUAG
rnacentral:rRNA from 1 species